rnacentral:rRNA from 1 species
AUGAUGCAGCAACAGCAGCAGCAGCAGCAGCCUCUGCCGCCCCCUCCGCCGCAGCACCCGCCGCCGCAGCCCGGCGGCGGCGGCGGCGGGGACUUCUACCGCGGCCCGCUGCAGCCGCCGAUGCGGCAGCUCUCUGCGGCGUCCUCCACCAACCUCGCGCCCGACUACGCCGGCCACCCGGGACCCCAGCAGCACCAUCAGCAGCAGCAACAUCAACAGCAACAGCAGCAGCAGCCGUUCGACGCCUAUGGGGACAAUUUUGGCGCUAAGAGGAUGCGGAAGCCUGUCCAGCGACGAACAGUGGACUACACGAGCUCUCUCGUCCGUUAUGCUCAGGCUCGCAUGUGGCAGCGGGAUGCAAGGGACAGAUUCACGUUGCAGCCAACCGCAGCUGCUGUCCUGGAUAUGUUGCCUUCUGUUGCAUACCCAGACAACCCCUCUACAAGUUUUGCUGGGAAAUUUGUUCAUUCAUCUAUCAAUAAGAACCGGUGCUCCAUAAACUGUGUCGUGUGGACUCCUACAGGACGCCGGCUUAUUACUGGAUCACAGAGUGGUGAAUUCACCCUAUGGAAUGGGCAAUCUUUUAAUUUUGAAAUGAUUCUUCAGGCUCAUGAACAAGCCGUGAGAUCAAUGAUUUGGAGUCACAAUGAAAAUUGGAUGGUUACGGGCGACGAUGGUGGUGCAAUAAAGUAUUGGCAAAGUAACAUGAACAAUGUCAAAGUGAAUAAAACUGCACACAGAGAAUCAGUCCGUGACUUGAGCUUUUGUAGAACAGACCUGAAGUUCUGUUCAUGUUCUGAUGACACAACCGUGAAGGUUUGGGACUUCGCAAGAUGCCAAGAAGAAAGAUCCCUAACUGGCCAUGGUUGGGAUGUUAAAAGUGUCGAUUGGCAUCCCACAAAAUCUUUAUUAGCUUCAGGUGGGAAAGACUAUCUUGUAAAACUCUGGGAUGCAAAAAGUGGUAGGGAGCUACGUUCAUUCCAUGGUCAUAAAAAUAUUGUGCAGUGUGUAAAAUGGAAUCAGAAUGGGAACUGGGUUUUGACUGCGUCUAAGGAUCAGAUUAUCAAGUUAUAUGAUAUUAGAUCCAUGAAAGAACUUGAAUCCUUCCGUGGGCACAAUAAGGAUGUAACUGCUUUGGCAUGGCAUCCAUUCCAUGAAGAAUACUUUGUUAGUGGGAGCUAUGAUGGUGGAAUCUUUCAUUGGUUGGUCGGCCAUGAAGCCCCACAAAUUGAAAUAAAUAAUGCACAUGACAAUAGUGUGUGGGACCUUGCCUGGCAUCCAGUGGGCUAUCUACUUUCCAGUGGUGGCAAUGAUCAUGCUACAAGAUUCUGGUGUAGAAACAGGCCUGGCGAUCUUACCCGUGAUAAAUUCAACAGCGGACAGAUCCAAGGUUAUGGUGACCAACACUCUGCUUUUGCUGGUCGAUUCCAGAUGCCUGAACAAACACCUGGGCCAUUUGCUGGUACAAUACCUGGCAUUGGUGUUGCAAUGCAUCUUGAUGGAUCUGAUCAUGGAGAACAGAGGCCAUCUAUACCUGGUCUUCCACCUGGUCCGCCUCCGUUGCCACCAGGUCCUCAUCCAUCUCUUCUACCCACUGGGCAGCAGCAACACUAUCAACAGAUGCCUCAGCAGCAACAUUCUCAAUUUCGGCCACCGCCUCCAAAUAUGCCACCGCCAGCACACAUUCUUCAACAUCAACAAGGACCUCGAUCAUCACUUCCUCAGCUUCCAUCGAUGCCAGGUUCCAUGCCAGGGCCAUCACCAGUGAACCCACCGCUACCACCCAUGCCACACCCAAUGGCAAUGCAAGGUUCGUCAACCCAGAUGAUGCCUCAAAUGCCACAACACUUGAUUGGCCUGAACCAGAAUCAUCCGGGUUCCAUCCCUCCAGGCAAUAUGCCUCCAAUGGGCAGCUUCCCAAACGGAAUGGGAAACAUUCAAGGUUCCUCAGGUGCUUCGGGCAUGCAAAACUUUCCUAUGGGCGGUAUGUACAACCGGCCUCAGGGCCAGAUGGCUCCACAAGGACAGAUGUCAUCCAUUCCUGGUCUAGGUUCUUACCAAGGAUGGGCAAUGUUGGCCUUCCACCACCGCCGCCGCAGCAUCCUCCGCCUCGCGGUGCAGCACCACAGUGAAAUCUUGUAA